CAUUCCCUCUCAUUGAUUGAUGAAUUCACUUUGGACAAGAAAGCUGUAUCAUUUCUUUGUUGUUUGAUGGAUCUAACUAUGUUCUGCAAUGUUGUUGAUCUGAUUGAUUGCUUGAGGACCACUAGAUGCAACCGGAAAAAAAAUAGGAGUGGUCUCUGGGAAGGCCAUUUUUGGGCCACCUCUCGAGGAGUACUGGACAAAGAAGUUGCAGGAAGAGGCAGCCAAGAAGGGUGAUGCCAGCACCAGUUAGCAGCAAGCAAGUAAUUAACACUUGAGUAACUAAACUGGUUGAAGGCACGGAAGACUUUGGGCUUAAAACUGCAGCAAUUGAGUUGCUAUGUUGUUAUUUGUGCCCAAUACAGUUUUAUAUGGAAUUAUGUACGAGGGAUUGUAGGCGAAGAACUAAUUAACACAUCCACAGAUACAUUGCAUCAUUUGGAGAGAAGUAAUAAAUGAAUUUGAGUCUAUGUAAUGACGAUGAAAGCCAAGCACGAUUAGUCAGUUACCUGUACAAAUUUUGCUCA